rnacentral:rRNA from 1 species
AGGCAGCAGUGGGGAAUAUUGGACAAUGGGGGAAACCCUGAUCCAGCCAUGCCGCGUGUGUGAAGAAGGUCUUCGGAUUGUAAAGCACUUUAAGUUGGGAGGAAGGGCAGUUAACUAAUAUUUGACUGUUUUGACGUUACCGACAGAAUAAGCACCGGCUAACUUC